CUCUCUUAUCCCCUCCCCUAGUCAGUUCGUGAGCUGCUGCUCCUCACGUCUCUACUUCGAAGUGACGACGUUGCUCCAGUCGAAGUGUCGAGAGGCCUCUCCAACUCCCAUAGACUGCGUCCUUGAGAAUUGAGAUACACCACCUGCCAGCCAGCUUGCCAUAUAUCGCUUCUCUUUGUUUUCUCUCUCGAUCUGCUCGGUUCUGGGCUCUGCAUCCUCUUGUGUGUUUCUGCCAGAUGCUCUACUGUCUCAUCGGGCUGGUGAGGUCGCCGGUGUCGGCCAUGCUGCCGCAGCUCAGGUCACGACUCUUCGUUACCUGGGGCGUCCUCUCGAGCUUUCCCCGAGACCAGGACAUACGUUCUAGAGAGCUCCUUCAUCAUCAGUUGGUCCAUCACGAGUUGUGGUGCAGGGCUGCAUGCUACAUUUGUGACUGAGAGGGCAACGCCAUGGAGGCUGAGGAGGAGACCAGAGAGGCACGACGUCGAGGUGGAGGGAGCCAUGAUCGCCGGUAUUGACAACAUGGUCACUUUAUCUGAUUGGUUGGCUUGGUCACUCUCUCGCUUCUCCAAUCGUGCCCCCGAUGGCAUGGGAGACGAUAUGAACUACAAGGUUUCAUCUGGACAAGGGAGGCGAUUUGGAAGUGUCGUAGACGAUGUUGUAGGUGCUAGGGUUCGGCUUUGCUUGCACUUAGAAAUCUUUUUCAUACAUUGGACUAAGAUCAAAUGCCAAUCAUGCAUGACCAUAGUUGGGUAGUUUCAACGUCUUCAGACUUGAUGUGUCUAUGCAGAUGAAUUGGACAUUUCCUCGUGCGAAAUCAAGCGCCAUUGUCUUUUCAUUCGUUCAACCAACCCUGCCAUCAAGUAUUAUGUUUGUGAGAUGAAAAGACACUUGUCGCUCCCGGGCAAAGUAUGUAUUUCUCCUACCUCUUUACAAAAGACAAUAUCAAGGACCAUCUUAAUGAACCAGUUAAGGACAUGAUGAUCAGUGCUAAGAGACAAGUUUGAAUGAUGAUGUGUAUGGAUACGAGGGCCAUAAUAACAACCAAUUCGUCAGACUUUGUCAAGGUGACAGGGAUCAAAGAAUAUCAGUUAUGCGUCUUUGCCUUCAAGAUUAAAAGGGGGAAACCAUUGACAUUAUCUGUACGUUUUAAAAGGUUAUGGUACAAAAUCACAAGUGCAUUGUCUAUGCAAAAACCAUUUUGUUGUCACCUAUCUCACGAACUAUUCGCAUUAGGUUCAUAUGGAAUGGUACCCAUGGAGUUAAUCGACAAGGUAGUUGAACCAAGCUAUAUAUUAGUAUGCCUAACUAUGACUUUGUAGUUUUACCGUCUCCAUUGGCACCGUGUCUGGCUUUUGCUCACUUAUGU